GGCAACACUUGCAAGUUCUUCGCUUUUCCACGACGAGUAUAAGAGAUGGAUUCGACUCAUAAGAUUUCUUUUCUUCUGAGAAGAAAGAAAAAAGCGAAGCGAUGGAUAAUGUCUCCAUUUUGAAUCGAAUGGGCGCUUGUUUGGAACUGAGAUUUUUAGCACCAUGGAAACGUGACGUCACCACUUAAGGACUCUAU